UACGAAGGGGGCUAGCGUUGCUCGGAUUGACUGGGCGUAAAGGGUGCGUAGGCGGCGGGGCAAGUCUGAUGUGAAAUCCCGGGGCUCAACCCCGGAACUGCAUUGGAUACUGCCUUGCUCGAGUACUGGAGAGGGAACUGGAAUUUACGGUGUAGCAGUGAAAUGCGUAGAGAUCGUAAGGAAGGCCAGUGGCGAAGGCGAGUUCCUGGACAGUUACUGACGCUGAGGCACGAAGGCCAGGGGAGCAAACGGG
rnacentral:rRNA from 1 species